rnacentral:rRNA from 1 species
GGGGNGGCAAGCACAUGACGCGAUUCUGAUAGCUAGUUGGUGGGGAAGGGCCUACCAAGGCGACGAUCAGUAGUUGGUCUAAGAGGACGACCAGCCACACUGGGACUGAGACACGGCCCAGACUCCUACGGGAGGCAGCAGUGGGGAAUUUUGGACAAUGGGCGCAAGCCUGAUCCAGCAAUGCCGCGUGAGUGAAGAAGGCCUUCGGGUUGUAAAGCUCUUUCAGUCGAGAAGAAAAGGCUGCAGUGAAUAACUGUAGUUUAUGACGGUAUCGACAGAAGAAGCACCGGCUAACUACGUGCCAGCAGCCGCGGUAAUACGUAGGGUGCGAGCGUUAAUCGGAAUUACUGGGCGUAAAGGGUGCGCAGGCGGUUUUGUAAGUCAGAUGUGAAAUCCCCGGGCUUAACCUGGGAAUUGCGUUUGAAACUCA